UGUCAAGGUUGUGGCAGUACUUUAUGGC
rnacentral:piRNA from 1 species